CGAGCGGUAUGGAUAGCUUGCUAUCCAGAGAGCGGCGUACGGGUGCGUAACACGUGUGCAACCUGCCUUUAUCUGGGGGAUAGCCUUUCGAAAGGAAGAUUAAUACCCCAUAAUAUGGUGUCCGGCAUCGGUCGCCAUUGAAAGCCUCGGCGGAUAGAGAUGGGCACGCGCAAGAUUAGAUAGUUGGCGGGGUAACGGCCCACCAAGUCGAUGAUCUUUAGGGGUCCUGAGAGGGAGAUCCCCCACACUGGUACUGAGACACGGACCAGACUCCUACGGGAGGCAGCAGUGAGGAAUAUUGGACAAUGGGUGGAAGCCUGAUCCAGCCAUCCCGCGUGAAGGAUGACGGUUCUAUGGAUUGUAAACUUCUUUUGUACAGGGAUAAACCUGCCCUCGUGAGGGCAGCUGAAGGUACUGUACGAAUAAGCACCGGCUAACUCCGUGCCAGCAGCCGCGGUAAUACGGAGGGUGCGAGCGUUAUCCGGAUUUAUUGGGUUUAAAGGGUCCGUAGGCGGGCCUGUAAGUCAGUGGUGAAAUCUCAUAGCUUAACUAUGAAACUGCCAUUGAUACUGCAGGCCUUGAGUAAAUUUGAAGUGGCUGGAAUAAGUAGUGUAGCGGUGAAAUGCAUAGAUAUUACUUAGAACACCGAUUGCGAAGGCAGGUCACUAAGAUUUAACUGACGCUGAUGGACGAAAGCGUGGGGAGCGAACAGGAUUAGAUACCCUGGUAGUCCACGCCGUAAACGAUGCUAACUCGUUUUUGGAUCUUCGGGUUCAGAGACCAAGCGAAAGUGAUAAGUUAGCCACCUGGGGAGUACGUCCGCAAGGAUGAAACUCAAAGGAAUUGACGGGGGCCCGCACAAGCGGUGGAUUAUGUGGUUUAAUUCGAUGAUACGCGAGGAACCUUACCAAGACUUAAAUGGGAAUUGACAGAUUUAGAAAUAGAUCCUCCUUCGGGCAAUUUUCAAGGUGCUGCAUGGUUGUCGUCAGCUCGUGCCGUGAGGUGUUAGGUUAAGUCCUGCAACGAGCGCAACCCCUGCCAACAGUUGCCAUCAUUCAGUUGGGGACUCUGUUGGGACUGCCUACGCAAGUAGAGAGGAAGGUGGGGAUGACGUCAAAUCAUCACGGCCCUUACGUCUUGGGCCACACACGUAAUACAAUGGCCGGUACAGAGGGCAGCUACCUGGUGACAGGAUGCGAAUCUCGAAAGCCGGUCUCAGUUCGGAUUGGAGUCUGCAACUCGACUCUAUGAAGCUGGAAUCGCUAGUAAUCGCGCAUCAGCCAUGGCGCGGUGAAUACGUUCCCGGGCCUUGUACACACCGCCCGUCAAGCCAUGGAAGUCUGGGGUACCUGAAGUCGG
rnacentral:rRNA from 1 species